GGGCGAAUGGUCUAGGGGUAUGAUACUCCCUUCGCAUCUUUCGGAUAUCUUCUUCGGAUACCCGUAUGUGAUUGGGAGGGGUCCGGGGUUCAAUUCCCCGUUCGUCCA